AACGGAGGGUGCAAGCGUUGUUCGGAAUUACUGGGCGUAAAGCGCGUGCAGGUGGUCUUCUAAGUUUCGUGUGAAAUCCCACGGCUCAACCGUGGAACGGCACGGAAAACUGGAAGACUUGAAUACGGGAGAAGAGGGCGGAAUUCCCAGUGUAGAGGUGAAAUUCGUAGAUAUUGGGAGGAACACCGGUGGCGAAAGCGGCUCUCUAGACCGAUAUUGACGCUCAUACGCGAGAGCGUGGGUAGCAAACAGG
rnacentral:rRNA from 1 species